UAGCAGCACAUCAUGGUUUGUAGGUAUACUGGAAGAUAACAGACCAUACUGAGCUGCCGCA
rnacentral:pre_miRNA from 1 species